CAUGUCCUUAAGAUUUUUAUUUUAGGUCUAAUCUGCUCAAUGAAUGUUUAAUAGCCGUGGUAUUUUGACCGCGCAAAGGUAGCAUAAUAAUUAGUUUUUUUAUUGAAAGCUGGGAUGAAUGAUUGGACAAGGGAUUUUCUGUCUCCUUGAGAUCUUUUUUGAAUUUAACUUUCAGGUUAAAAGGCUUGAAUUUAUUUUAAAGACGAGAAGACCCUAUAGAGUUUUACAUUUUUGUAUUUGAAUAUUUCUUAGAAUAAAUUUAUUUUUAUAAUUAUUUUGUUUGGUUGGGGUGAUUGGAAGAUUUAUUUAACUCUUCUAUUUAUAAAGUUACUAAUUAGUAAUUUUUACUUCUAUAAUUUUUAAGUUUAAAAUAAAUUACCUUAGGGAUAACAGCGUUAUUUUUCUUUAGAGUUCUUAUUGUUAGAGAAGUUUGCGACCUCGAUGUUGGAUUAAAAUUUAUGAUGGGUGCAGUAGCUCAUUUAUUUAAGUCUGUUCGACUUUUAAAAUUUUACAUGAUCUGAGU
rnacentral:rRNA from 1 species